rnacentral:rRNA from 1 species
CCUACCCUUGACAUGUCUGGAACCUUGGUGAGAGCGAGGGUGCCUUCGGGAGCCAGAACACAGGUGCUGCAUGGCUGUCGUCAGCUCGUGUCGUGAGAUGUUGGGUUAAGUCCCGCAACGAGCGCAACCCUUGUCACUAGUUGCCAUCAUUUGGUUGGGCACUCUAGUGAGACUGCCGGUGACAAACCGGAGGAAGGUGGGGAUGACGUCAAGUCCUCAUGGCCCUUAUAGGUGGGGCUACACACGUCAUACAAUGGAUGGUACAAAGGGUCGCCAACCCGCGAGGGGGAGCCAAUCCCAUAAAGCCAUUCGUAGUCCGGAUCGCAGUCUGCAACUCGACUGCGUGAAGUCGGAAUCGCUAGUAAUCGUGGAUCAGAAUGUCACGGUGAAUACGUUCCCGGGUCUU